GAUGAACGCUGGCGGCGUGCCUAAUACAUGCAAGUCGAGCGAACGGACGAGAAGCUUGCUUCUCUGAUGUUAGCGGCGGACGGGUGAGUAACACGUGGAUAACCUACCUAUAAGACUGGGAUAACUUCGGGAAACCGGAGCUAGUACCGGAUAAUAUUUUGAACCGCAUGGUUCAAAAGUGAAAGACGGUCUUGCUGUCACUUAUAGAUGGAUCCGCGCUGCAUUAGCUAGUUGGUAAGGUAACGGCUUACCAAGGCAACGAUGCAUAGCCGACCUGAGAGGGUGAUCGGACACACUGGAACUGAGACACGGUCCAGACUCCGACGGGAGGCAGCAGUAGGGAAUCUUCCGCAAUGGGCGAAAGCCUGACGGAGCAACGCCGCGUGAGUGAUGAAGGUCUUCGGAUCGUAAAACUCUGUUAUUAGGGAAGAACAUAUGUGUAAGUAACUGUGCACAUCUUGACGGUACCUAAUCAGAAAGCCACGGCUAACUACGUG
rnacentral:rRNA from 1 species